UAGGGAAUCUUCGGCAAUGGGGGGAACCCUGACCGAGCAACGCCGCGUGAGUGAAGAAGGUUUUCGGAUCGUAAAGCUCUGUUGUUAAGGAAGAACGUGUGUGAGAAUGGAAAGUUCAUGCUGUGACGGUACUUAACCAGAAAGGGACGGCUAACUACGUGCCAGCAGCCGCGGUAAUACGUAGGUCCCGAGCGUUGUCCGGAUUUAUUGGGCGUAAAGCGAGCGCAGGCGGUUAGAAAAGUCUGAAGUGAAAGGCAGUGGCUCAACCAUUGUAGGCUUUGGAAACUGUGUAACGUGAGUGCAGAAGGGGAGAGUGGAAUUCCAUGUGUAGCGGUGAAAUGCGUAGAUAUAUGGAGGAACACCGGUGGCGAAAGCGGCUUUCUGGACUGUAACUGACGCUGAGGCUCGAAAGCGUGGGGAGCGAACAGG
rnacentral:rRNA from 1 species